CCAAAAUAUUACACUAUCAUUUUUCCAUGUGUUGGAAAAUCAAGAAAUGAUUCAAGUUUGUGGGGCAGUAGCAAAGCCAUUAUGGAGGAGAGAGCUGAGCUGUAUUCUUCUUGUUAUUAUGCAAACCUGGAAUAAGUCUUAGCUAAAAAGAUUCUCAUUGAGUCACCAGGAGAUAAAAGCAAUUAAGAAAUAGAUUUCCAGGCUUGUACAACCAACACUUGGUGUGUAGACUUCCUCUGAAUGGCCAAUUCUGAUAUUGCACUGUGGCUUCAGCUUACCAAUGUAACCUCUACUGUUUUGUUUGUUUGUUUUUUGUUUUUGAGACAGGGUCUCACCAUGUAGUCCAGGCUGGCCUUAAACUCACUAGAUAGCCCAGGCUGGCCUCAAACUCACAGCAAUCCUCCUGCCUCAGCCUCCCAAAUUCUGGGAAUACAGGCGUGCACCACCAUGACCAGCUUUCCUUUACUGGUCUAAGACUUUAAACUUACUGAACUAUGUUAGAACUGGUGUGGGUUUUUUAUUUUUAUUGUGAAUGAUUAAUUAAGUAUCUGGAUAACUAGCCAGCAAAUGCAAGCCAGUGCAUCUUAGAAUUCUGGACUUUCAAGAUGCUUCAACAAAAAUCCAGUAGAAAACUGAACAUGCUGGACCUGAUGGGUAGCCUCAGUGCUGAGACUCUAAAAUCAGAUAGGGAGUUCAAAGGCUGCCACUUCUCUCCUGUGCAGGGCCCGUCAGGGAGGAAGCACACUGAGGCGGAAUGUGGGGAAUGCUCCUAGCCCCUCCUCACACAGGGGAAAGACACAUUCAGCUACAGCUGACAAAAAAACACAACAAUACAGGCAGACGAUGCAGGUACUGUCUCCGCCCGACAAAAGACAUGCCAUCUUGGAGCAGAGAGAACACAGAACACAGGACGGGGUGUUCCCAACAAAGAGAUAACAAUUACAAAGUAUAGCAUCUUUCCAAUGUCAAGUGACCUGAAAAUAUCCAUACAUCUGCUUGAUCACUGCAUGGACCUCGACCACAAAUAUUUGUUCUGACCCUUAUAUGUGCCAGCCCUCUCUUCCAAUGCCCUAUAUAGCUUCCUGCCUUUUCUUUGUUCAGUGCUGAUCAUCUCUUGCUUUCUGUGAGCCCACUGCUACCCAGGUGAAUAAAGCCUGUACCUCUUUGCUCUCACUAACCUGCAUGGGUGGUCUCAUUACUUGCUGUUUGUUACAAAGUCCCUAAAUUUUGGGGUUAAUUUGUUACACAGCAAUAAAUAACACAAUAAACAAAUGAAUAUGUCCACAAAUGGAUGAAAGAAACUGAAGGCCUCACCAAAAGAAGGGGGACUUGAGACUGGAGAAAGCAAGCAAAGGUUUUAGGACAAAUACAAUCGUUAAUCCUUUGUGUCUGAAGAUGUUUCUCCCAGCUACAGAAUCUAGAAGUAUGGUUGAGAGGAAAACUCCUCUCAGAGUUUUAGGAAUCAACUUUAUCAGGUCACUGGACAUUUUAUAUUUCUGGGCAC
rnacentral:lncRNA from 1 species